UACAUGUGUGUAUGUGGCUGAUUCAGCGGAGUAGAAUCUCUUAUUUAUUGCAAACAAAAUAAAUAAAUAUAAAUAAAUAAAACAGUCUCAAUUUUUUCUUUAGUA